AUUGAACGCUGGCGGCAGGCCUAACACAUGCAAGUCGAGCGGUAGAGAGAAGCUUGCUUCUCUUGAGAGCGGCGGACGGGUGAGUAAUGCCUAGGAAUCUGCCUGGUAGUGGGGGAUAACGUUCGGAAACGGACGCUAAUACCGCAUACGUCCUACGGGAGAAAGCAGGGGACCUUCGGGCCUUGCGCUAUCAGAUGAGCCUAGGUCGGAUCAGCUAGUUGGUGAGGUAAUGGCUCACCAAGGCGACGAUCCGUAACUGGUCUGAGAGGAUGAUCAGUCAUACUGGAACUGAGACACGGUCCAGACUCCUACGGGAGGCAGCAGUGGGGAAUAUUGGACAAUGGGCGAAAGCCUGAUCCAGCCAUGCCGCGUGUGUGAAGAAGGUCUUCGGAUUGUAAAGCACUUUAAGUUGGGAGGAAGGGCAGUAAAUUAAUACUUUGCUGUUUUGACGUUACCGACAGAAUAAGCACCGGCUAACUCCGUGCCAGCCGCCGC
rnacentral:rRNA from 1 species